UACGGAGGAUCCAAGCGUUAUCCGGAAUUACUGGGCGUAAAGAGUUGCGUAGGUGGCAUCGUAAGUCGGUAGUGUAAGCGUGUGGCUCAACCACAUAUACAUUAUUGAAACUGCGAAGCUAGAGGACGAGAGAGGUACCUGGAAUUCCUAGUGUAGGAGUGAAAUCCGUAGAUAUUAGGAGGAACACCGAUGGCGUAGGCAGGGUACUGGCUCGUUCCUGACACUAAGGCACGAAAGCAUGGGUA
rnacentral:rRNA from 1 species